UAGAAGCAGCCAUCCUUCAAAGAAAGCGUAAUAGCUCACUGAUCGAGUCCUCAUGCGCGGAAGAUGUAACGGGGCUAAGUCAAUAACCGAAAGCGCGGAUUUGUACGGAAGUACAAGUGGUAGGGGAGCGUUCUGUAAGCCUGCGAAGGUGGUUCGAGAGGACUGCUGGAGGUAUCAGAAGUGCGAAUGCUGACAUGAGUAACGUUAAAGCGGGUGAAAAGCCCGCUCGCCGUAAGCCCAAGGUUUCCUGCUCUACGUUCAUCGGAGCAGGGUGAGUCGGCCCCUAAGGCCAGGCUGAGAAGCGUAGUCGAUGGGAAGCAGAUUAAUAUUUCUGCACCAUGUGCAAGUGCGAUGGGGGGACGGAGUGCGAAAGAUCAUCCGGGUGUUGGAUGUCCCGGUUUGUGAGUGUAGAAGGCCGACAGGCAAAUCCGUCGGCGGAUCUUCGAGACAAAGCAUCGAGGUUCUACGGAACCGAAGUGAUCGGAAGUGCUUCCAGGAAAAGCCUCUAAGCUCCAGCUUGCAUGUGACCGUACCGUAAACCGACACUGGUGGGCGAGUUGAAUAUACUCAGGCGCUUGAGAGAACUCGGGAGAAGGAACUCGGCAAAUUGACACCGUAACUUCGGGAUAAGGUGUGCCUUUGUAGCGUGAAGAGAGAAACGCUCGGAGCGUGAAGAGGCCUCAGAGAAUCGGUGGCUGCAACUGUUUAUUAAAAACACAGCACUCUGCAAAGACGAAAGUCGACGUAUAGGGUGUGAUGCCUGCCCGGUGCUGGAAGAUUAAGUGAUGGGGUGAGAGCUCCUGAUCGAAGUCCCAGUAAACGGCGGCCGUAACUAUAACGGUCCUAAGGUAGCGAAAUUCCUUGUCGGGUAAGUUCCGACCUGCACGAAUGGCAUAAUGAUGGCCACACUGUCUCCUCCCGAGACUCAGUGAAGUUGAAAUGUUUGUGAUGAUGCAAUCUCCCCGCGGCUAGACGGAAAGACCCCAUGAACCUUUACUGUAGCUUUGCAUUGGACUUUGAACCGAUUUGUGUAGGAUAGGCGGGAGGCAGAGAAAGCGCAACGCCAGUUGUGCCGGAGCCGACGUUGAAAUACCGCCCUGAUUUGUUUGAGGUUCUAACCGCGACCCGUGAGCCGGGUUCGGGACCGUGCAUGGCAGGCAGUUUGACUGGGGCGGUCUCCUCCUAAAGGGUAACGG
rnacentral:rRNA from 1 species